GUUUCCACAUCACACUCGUGUAAGUUGGAUAUUGGACCACGUUUGGCCUUCAAACUGUUUGUGAUGUCACACAUCCUGCUCGUAGGCCACGCCCCUUAAAAAUCUGAUGUUUAAUGAGCUCAGAGAAACUUUCCUCCUUCAGCAGAUGAAUGAUAACGCUGCACAUACGUCACUCUGCACAGAGAAGAAGAACAAACAUCCAGCUGAGCAGAGGGAGACUUUAAUGAAUGCCGUUGCACUGUGGAAACAUUCUGACCAAAAACCUCCGACCUUCCUCCUCGACUCUGAGACAGCAGCAUGACUUCUGUUCAACAGCCGCUUUCAUCCGGCAGAUCCGGAGGAAAGUAUGUUCAUGUCCGACGCAUCGAUGAACACGCGUGUAACAGGCCUGUGGUCUAAUGUGUGUGUGACAUCACCAGGCUGACAGAAUGGGAGCUCCCUUCUGCACACGCUCAGUGGCUCGCUCUGCCGGCUCCACGACAGACAGACGGACGGACACAUGACUCAGAAACACACAGUAACAGUCGUGUGUUCAACUGGAAGCACAGACAGGAAGUGACAUCGCCGCGCUACAUGUCACGCAAACGUUACAGCACGAAAAGAAAAAAAAAUCUUUGGUUUUGCUGCACAAGUGAUGGAAGAAAUAGACAGACAGAUCCUUUACUGCAGUAUAAGUACAUAAGUAUUAUGAG